CACUGAUACUUUAGCGCAUGCCGCCGCUCUUACUGUUUCCCAGCAUAUCUUUCGUCUUUGCUUUACAUCACCCCUCACCUUCCGCCAUUGCUGCAGACCCCCAAGCUCGCCUUUCUCCUCCAUUUCUUCGUAUUCUCUCACCACCGCAUAACUACCGCCACUCCUCCCUCUCUCUCUCGCUCUCUAUUCAGUUUUUUUCCGUCAUUUUUUCAUUCCAUUUUUGCCCUGCUCUCACGAGGAUCUCCACCAUUUUUUAAGCUUAUCCGCUCAGCCACCGUCUCCCCUUUUCGCAUCAGGGACUCAGCGUCACUCAUGUUGUCUUGUUGAUAUUGGUAUGGUAAGGUCUACAUUGCAUUCAUAUUGUUGCCAUUUGAAAUGGCUUCCUGUGUUCUACGUCUUUUCUCUUAUACUUUAUGUUGGUAUAUGACUAAUUGGUGUCGAGCAAGGCCCUUCUUAUUUAUUCUUUAGUUGAGCGCUCUAGUUUUUUGGGUUAUUGAACCGGUCCACAUGCACCACCAUUCAGUGCUCUACAAAAAUAGGGGUUUGGUUUGGGUCAACCUGCAGACCUGGUGGAUCACCUAGACCUAGGUCCAGGUCCAGACCCUUAAAUGGAUCUGACUUAAUUGUAUAAGGAAAAAGUUUAUAUAAGGUUGAGGCCCUAAACAGGCGCACCUCAAAAGUUCAUUAGAAGAGCUUGUUUCGAUGUAAAAGAACCCUCAAAUCGAUCAUCUAGAUCCCAAGAUUUAGAGACGUGAAAAAAUAUGGAUUUCAAGUUCAAAAAAUAGUGCAUCUUCUAAUGCAUAUUUGGGCUGUCAAUUUUCAAUAUUUUCAAUUAUUUAUAGAUCUGCUUGAUCUACACUUUGUUGAAAUUUAUAACCAGAGAGAAAAUAAAUAUUCACGUCAUCACAACUAUUUUUGCUAGUGAAAAAUCAUCUUUCAACACUAUUGAGAGUUGCCCCUUGCUUUGAUGGUUCAAGGCCUCAACCUUAUACAAACCACACCCAUCUGAUAUAUACAUUUACAUGUGUAUAUAAUCAUAUACUUAGGUGCAUUUUAUAUACCAGUUGGGUCGGGCCCUGGUCAUAAAUUUAUAUGCACCUUCCAAACUUGGGUGUGAAAACUGGUCAAAAAGAAAAGAAAAGAAAAGAAAAGAAAAGAAAAGAAAAGAAAAGAAAAGA